UGUCCCACCACCCUUCUUCCAACCCUCUGAUCAUUUCUGUGCCCCUCCUCUGGACCCACUCAAACAGGCCCGUGUCUUCCUUGUGCUGGGGACCCAAGAGCUGGAGGCAGUAGUCCAGGUGGGGCUCCCAAGAGCAGAGCAGAGAAGAAGAGGAGAAUCACCUCCCUCCACCUGCUGGCCAUGCUGAAGAUCAAUCUAAUGAUAUGAUCCCAUGUGUCCUGUUGUCAUCUUCUUACUGGCUUCUCCAUGCUCACGGAACACCAUUUCUUUAGGAAUGGGUCAGGUGGCUGCAGCAGGAGCUUGCCAGCGCUCUCAGAAAGUGCUCCCUGGCAGAAGCUUCACUUGAAGCUGAGAAGCGCCACAGCAGGGACCUGCAGGAACAGAAACUGCAGCUGCAGAAGGAACUGGACAGUUCUAAAGCUCAGCUGCAGGAAUUGAAAGAGCGGCUUAUCCGGAACGAGUGUUAUGCCGAGUCCCUGGAGAGUGCCAUAAAGAACAAGGAGAGGGAGCUAACAGCUUCCAAGCACCUGCAGAGACUUCUGGUCACCUCUUCUGGAACUGCGGCUGUCCCAGAGCUGGAAGAACGCGUGCAGCAGCUCCAAGUUCGAAGGGCCAGGCUGGCAGCCACAGUCCAGCAACAAGCCAAGACUAUGGAAGCCCUUCAGCAAGACCUGCAAGCCUCUGCCUCAGUAAGCUAAUCAGAACCUUCCCUUUUCAUGAGCUACCAGAGCCCAGUUCCACCUUCAGGUGGGGAAAUUGGAAGGUUCUCCCGGAGAGCCUGGGAGAGACCAUUUCCUCUGUUCUACUGACUACUUUGAGGCUGCCCUCAAAGUCCUGCUGCCCCGUUUCCCAGCCUUCUGGCUUUGAGAGUCGCCCCAUGAGACUGUAGCCAGUCCUACUUCAGUGCCACCUAAUGCCGCCUUUGUGAAGGACUUGGCAGUCAGGGACUGGCUUCGGUAUUUUUGCUUUAGAACACUCGUGAGGUUGAGACCUCGGGCAGCACUUCAGACAGUUGUGCUGUAGAGGCAUUUGGUACCUUCAGCUGCAGACGUUCCUUGGGCUCUGGUGGUGCCGAGCGCUUCAUCCUGAAGGCCUGACUGGCAUUGUCAGACUGUGACAGGAGUUCUUCAGUUGCCUCUGCUCUGGUGCCCUUCCAUUAGUGCUGUACUUCCAGCAUCCAGUUUCCAGUGCCACCUUUGGCCCAGCCUGCUGUAUAAACUAACAGCCCACACUAACCCUUCCCCAGCCACUGCUGAGCCUCCAGCGCCAUUAGCACUGAGGAGAUGCCAGAGCAGAGGAAGUGCCGGUGCCCGAAAGCUGAGUGGUGACAAGAGAGAGGAAUGAAGCCUGCAAACCC
rnacentral:lncRNA from 1 species